rnacentral:rRNA from 1 species
GACGAACGCUGGCGGCGUGCUUAACACAUGCAAGUCGAACGGAACGUCCCUGCCUUUGUGGGGUGCUCGAGUGGCGACCGGGUGAGUUACCCGUGAGUAACCUGCCCUUGACUUUGGGAUAACUUCAGGAAACUGGGGCUAAUACCGGCUAGGAGCUCCCGCUGCAUGGUGGGGGUGGGAAAGUUUCGGUGGUUGGGGAUGGACUCGCGGCUUAUCAGCUUGUUGGUGGGGUAGUGGCUUACCAUGGCUUUGGCGGGUAGCCGGCCUGAGCGGGGCACCUGCCAAGUUAGGACUGGGAUACGGCACAGACUCGAACGGGAGGCAGCGGUGGGGAAUAUUGCACAAGGGGCGGAAGCAUAGUGCGACAACGCCGCGUGGGGGAUGGCGGCCUGGGGGUUGUAAACCGAUUUCGCCUUAGACGAGGCGAGAGUGACGGUAACGGGUAAAGAAGCACCGGCUAACUACGUG